rnacentral:rRNA from 1 species
AACGAACGCUGGCGGCAUGCCUAACACAUGCAAGUCGAACGAGACCUCCGGGCUUAGUGGCGCACGGGUGGUUACCGCGUGGGAACUAGCACGUAGGUUAGGUACACUUCCCCUUAGGGUGACCUCAGGAAAGUGGGGGUCAUACGGCCAAAGAUGUAUUGCCUUUGGGUGGGCCCGCGUUGGAUUAGCUAGUUGGUAGGGUAAAAGCCGACCAAGGCGUCGAUCCAUAGCUGGUGUGAGAGGAUGAUCAGCCACACUGGGCGUGAGACACGGCCCAGACUCCUACGGGAGGCAGCAGUGGGGAAUAUUGGACGAUGGGCGAAGGCCUGAUCAAGCAAUGCCGCGUGAGUGAUGAAGGCCUUAGGGUUGUAAAGCUCUUUUACCCGGGAUGAUAAUGACAGUACCGGGAGAAUAAGCACCGGCUAACUCCGUG